GUUCCCUCUGUAUGCAGAAUAUUGUGCAACAUGGUUAUGGGUACUACAGUGGAUGUGAGUGUGUAGACCUUGUACAAUAGAGCUUAUAGGCUAAUGAGAAGACAGGAAGAAACAACAGGAACACAUAUAGCUGGAAUGCAGAUGGGAUCUGUGCUACUUACGCUAGCCAUGGGAUGAUUAGAACAAGAUAAGAGACAUGAGGAAGACUUCUUCAAGGAGGUGCUCAAGCCAUGUUUUGGAAAAGAGAACUCAAGGUCUGGCAGGGAGAAAGGAGCAAGAGUAGACUUUGAGUCUUUGCUUCAGAUGCAGAUCAAGAUGUGGCAACCUGUUGUGGAGAACUGGGUCCCUUGAGCCUGUGCUGUCUCUUUUUUUCUGGUGGCUUUGUCAUUUGGAACAAUGCAUAAUGGGCUGGAGGCUGAGAAACUCUGAGCUGAGGGCAAGUAGAGCUGCAGCUGUCUGGCGCCACUGUAAUGCUGUCUCCUCCUCUGAGUGAGUUCAUCCUGGAAACAUUUUCUCCCAUAAGACAUGCACAGGUCUUACGUUUACAUGUUUCACUGAAAGAAAUUUGAUUCCACUGCUGGGAUGACAAGGAAGACUGAAGAAACCUAAUCCUAGGUGCUGCCACUGGGACAAACAAGAAGCACCAGACACAGUGCUGUUUUAGGGUGGGGCAGAAUUAUGCUGAGGGAAAAGUUAUUAUCACUCUUUAAGGCCAAGGAAACCACAAUUUUUAAAGAAGCUUCUAGAAAUUCUACCCAGUAGAAAAUAAAGAUAAACUUCUGUAAGGAAUUUCAUUCUUUUCAGAAUUCGCAAUCUGAAAUGUAGAAGCCCAUUCCUUCAUGGUUCUCAUAGAUAUUUAGUGUGACUGAGGGGUCAGUGGACUCAUAGCACUCAGGCCAGGCUUCUCCUGAGUCCCUUUCUUUGGCACAGAGGGAGUGAUUCACAGAUCCUCUACCCCCAAAGGCAUUGUUUCCUCAUCUCAACAAGAAUCCAGCACCCGUCAUUUUAUCAGCACACGUCACUAGCUUCUCAAGUGAGACUACUCUGAAGUGAUCUGUGUUUGAAGAAUGCCUUUCCCUUUCCCUUACGUAACUAAGAGGAUGAAAAAGGACACUCACUCCCUAUAUGAAAGCUGUGUAUUGUAAGCAGUCAUCUUGCCUGGCUGAGAACUCUAGGAUCUUUUUCUCUGCUCUCCUUUAGGCUGACACUCAUAGCCAGACCUUCUGUUUAUUAGCCCCCUGAAUCUAUUUGAAAAUAUUUUUGCUUUCAUUAUAAUAUAAGUCACAUUCUUCUUGCAUCUGCCGCUGCAUUUUCCAAAAGGGUUAUGUCAAGGGAAAUUCAACACUCACUUUUCUCAUUAUUUGCUUACCAGCUUGCUCACUCAUCAAAAUACCAGAGUUAUUUGAUACUUCAGAAGAUUAUUUCCCCCUUUAGAUGAUGUGUCAAGGGAAGGGGAGCUGGCCCCAGUAUCAGGUGACAGAAUUUUCUUCGCAUUUCUACUGUUGACUCAAUAAAUGCCCUUGGGCAAGUCAUGGAGCCUCUUCA
rnacentral:lncRNA from 1 species